CGCCCCUCUGUUUAACUCCCGGGCUCGUCCAGGCGUCCCAGCUCGGGAUCCCGAGGUGCGGCUCCGCCAGCGCGAACCAUGGCUGCGCUGGGCUGCGCGAGGCUGCGGUGGGCGCUGCUGGGCACGCGGGUGGCCGGACGUGGCCUCUGCCCACUCGGGGCCAGAGCCAAGGCCGCGAUCCCUGCCGCCCUCCCCGCAGACCAGGCGGCCGUGGCACCUGGAGCUGGUCCUGAAGACCAGCGGCCGCUGAGGAAUUGGGAGGAGCUUCCCAGGAUUGGGGAGCUGCGCUUCUUUUUCCAGCUGUUUGCUCAGGGUUAUGUCCUACGCCUGCAUGACCUCCAGAUGCGGAACAAGGCCAAGUACGGUCCGAUGUGGCUCUCCAACAGCGGCCCUCGCCUCCUAGUGAACCUGGCCAGUGCCCCACUCUUGGAGCAAGUGAUGCGGCAGGAUGACAAGUACCCCACAAGGGACUCCAUGGAGUUGUGGAAGGCACACCGCGAUUAUCAGAGCCUGGCAUACGGACCCUUCACCACGGAAGGACACCAGUGGCACCAGUUACGCCAUGCUUUGAAUCAGCGGAUGCUGAAGCCAGCAGAGGCUGCGCUCUAUACAGAUGCUUUAAAUGAGGUGAUUGAUGACUUCAUUACUCGACUGAACCAGAUUCGAGCAGAGAGUGCUUCGGGGGAUCAGGUGUCAGACAUGGCUCACCUCUUCUACCAUUUCGCCUUGGAAGCUAUUUGCUACAUCCUGUUCGAGAAGCGGAUUGGUUGCCUGGAAACCUCCAUCCCUGAGGACACUGUGAACUUCAUCAGAUCUGUUGGGCUCAUGUUCCAGAACUCAGUCUAUGCCACCUUCCUCCCCAAGUGGACCCGUCCCCUGCUGCCCUUCUGGAAGCGAUAUCUGGAUGGUUGGGACACCAUCUUCUUCUUUGGGAAAAAGUUGAUUGAUGAGAAAUUCAAGGAGGUGGAGGCCCAACUACAGACAGCAGGACCAGAUGGGGUCCAGAUAUCCGGCUACCUGCACUUCCUGCUGACCAGUGGACAGCUCAGUCCUCGUGAGGCCUUGGGCAGCCUGCCUGAGCUGCUCUUGGCUGGUGUGGACACGACAUCCAACACGUUGGCAUGGGCCCUGUACCACCUUUCAAAGAACCCUGAGAUCCAGGAAGCCUUGCACAAGGAAGUGAUGGAUGUUACAGGCCCAGGGAAGGUGCCCCAACACAAGGACUUCACCCACAUGCCCCUGCUCAAAGCCGCGAUUAAGGAGACCCUGCGCCUCUACCCUGUGGUCCCCACAAACUCACGAAUCAUCACGGAUAAGGAAGUUAAAAUCGAUGGCUAUGUUUUCCCCAAGAAUACCCAGUUUGUGUUUUGCCACUAUGUGGUGUCCCGAGACCCCACUACCUUUCCCGAUCCUGAAAGCUUCCGGCCUCACCGCUGGCUGAGGAAGAACAAGGCAGGUGUUCCUGGAGUCCAACACCCAUUUGGCUCUGUGCCCUUUGGCUAUGGGGUCCGGAGCUGCCUGGGCCGCAGGAUUGCGGAGCUCGAGAUGCAGCUGCUGCUGGUGAGGGAACCAGGGACAGAGGAACAUGGUAAAGACCACCUGCAGAAAGCAAAUGGACAAGUGUGGAAGUGCCAUGGCCUACAGGACAGCUGCCUCAGAACAGGAAAUCGAGAUUUGGAUGGGAUGAACUGAACAAAAACCCUGGUAACCAGCAGUUUCCUCUUCUACAUUCAACUUACUGCAUUGGCUGGGGAUAUAGCUCAGUGGGAUAAGCACCCGCCUGGUAAGCACAAGGUCCUGAGUUUGAUUCCCACUACCAAAAUAAAUUUGUUGCAUUUAAUUUUGUAAAUCUUCCAGUACAGUCAAGAUAGAUGUUGCUAAGAUGCUGCCUUCAUAUUACUGAGGAAACUGAGGCACAGAGAAGUUGGCCUAAGGUUCAAAGGCAAAGACUUCUAACCCUCUCCACUCUCAGUCUCUAAGCUGAUGCCACACAGACUCCUGCCCAUUCUCAACCCUUCUCUACCAUGUUCUCCCCGACAUGCCCUCCUUCCCAACCCUGGCCCAAGCCUCUUGUCCUGGUGCCAGUACCAGAUUCAUUGACUACAGGCAGCGCUGACACUCGACGGUCCACAAAGAUGUCCAGCGCAGUCAGGAUGGGUGCAGUCUCCAGCACCACGGCCAAAUCUCGGAAUGUGCCGAUGCCCAGAUCUUGGAUAGUGCGGUAGAGGAAGGAGGGCCGGGGCAGUAGGGCCCCCUGGAAGGGGUGAGGACACGUGGUGACCAGAGCAAGCAGCCCGCAGAGGGCUCCUAGCUCCUCCCGCCCCACGGCUUGCAGAUUUGGCUCCUCUGUGGCCUCCCCGUGGCUCCCCCUUUCUCCUCCCCCUAGGCCUGGGCUCACAAAGAUGUGCAGGAAUUUGAGCAGCCGCUUGUGUGUGAGGAUGUAGAGCACCGUGCCUGACACCGGGUCCAGGACUGGCAGACGAUGGAUGCGGUUCUUGAUGAGAGCAUAGACAGCUUCGAACAGGCUGGGGAGGAGAAGGAGAUGAGGAGGGGGUUCAGGGCUGAGUGGCAAGGGAAAGGAUGCUUGCCUGUCAUUCGGAGAGAUGGAGACCAGAGGCUUGAAGCAGCCUUGAAGAUCUGGACCUAGAAGCAGCAACAGGACUCUGGAAGUCAGACAUGGGUCCUGCAGGCACCAGGCUCCCUGAAGACUCCCCUUGGCCCCACCCUGGCCCACUCGGCAGCCCCACCCACUCCUCACCAGGGGGGAUCUGUAGUAUCGGUGCAGCACCACGAUGAAGUCUGUGAUGUACCAAGGAUCGAAUUCAUGACUGCCUGCUUGCAAGGCAGGCGCUUAUGCCGCUGAGCUAAAUCUCAAGCCCCAUUUUUUCUGUAAAUAAAUUUUGUAUUGACUCAUUUUGAGCCUCAUUCUAA